UACGGAGGAUGCAAGCGUUAUCCGGAUUUAUUGGGCGUAAAGCGUCCGCAGGUGGUUUGACAAGUCUGCUGUUAAAGGUCAGAGCUUAACUCUGUCACGGCGGUGGAAACUGUCAGACUUGAGUAUGGUAGGGGUAGCGGGAAUUCCCAGUGUAGCGGUGAAAUGCGUAGAUAUUGGGAAGAACACCAGCGGCGAAAGCGCGCUACUGGGCCAUUACUGACACUCAUGGACGAAAGCUAGGGGAGCGAAAGG
rnacentral:rRNA from 1 species